rnacentral:tRNA from 1 species
CCCAUCGUAGUUCAACGGAUAGAACGCAUGCCUCCUAAGCGUGAAAUACAGGUUCGAUUCCUGUCGGUGGGA